rnacentral:rRNA from 1 species
GGUGAACGCUGGCGGCGUGCCUAAUACAUGCAAGUCGAGCGAACAGACGAGGAGCUUGCUCCUCUGACGUUAGCGGCGGACGGGUGAGUAACACGUGGAUAACCUACCUAUAAGACUGGGAUAACUUCGGGAAACCGGAGCUAAUACCGGAUAAUAUAUUGAACCGCAUGGUUCAAUAGUGAAAGACGGUUUUGCUGUCACUUAUAGAUGGAUCCGCGCCGCAUUAGCUAGUUGGUAAGGUAACGGCUUACCAAGGCAACGAUGCGUAGCCGACCUGAGAGGGUGAUCGGCCACACUGGAACUGAGACACGGUCCAGACUCCUACGGUAGGCAGCAGUAGGGAAUCUUCCGCAAUGGGCGAAAGCCUGACGGAGCAACGCCGCGUGAGUGAUGAAGGUCUUCGGAUCGUAAAACUCUGUUAUUAGGGAAGAACAAAUGUGUAAGUAACUAUGCACGUCUUGACGGUACCUAAUCAGAAAGCCACGGCUAACUACGUG